GGCCACUACAAUGGCUAUAACCUCCCCUUCCUUCCUCUUCCUCUCCCUCCCAAUCCUUCUCCUCGUAUCCACCUCCACCACUUUCUCCUCCCCCGUCUGCAACCCGUCCGACAAGACAGCCCUGCUCGCCAUUGGAGCAUCCCUAAAAAUAAAAGCAUCCCGCAACCGUGGUUGGACCCCCGCCACCGACUGCUGCAACUGGGUCGGCGUCCUCUGCGACGACACCACCGGCCGCGUCACAGCCCUCAACGUCUACCCCUCUCAUGUCACCUCCACUCUCCCCUCCGCCAUCGGUGACCUCCCCUUCCUCACCAACAUUGACAUCCGCCAACAAUCAAACCUCACCGGCCCAAUCCCUCCGGCCAUAUCCCGUCUCACCCGCCUCACCUGGCUCCGCCUCGAUAAAAACAGCCUUACCGGCCCUGUCCCCACCUUCCUCUUCCGCCUCCCGGUCCUCAACUACCUUGACCUCUCCCACAACCGCCACACCGGCGGCAUUCCUCCCGCCAUCGCCAGCUCCUCUCUAAACUACCUCUUCCUCUCCCGUAACAGCCUCAGCGGCCCCAUCUCGGCAUACGUUGCCAAAUCAAACGUGACCACCCUCUUCCUCGACCACAACCACUUCACCGGUCCCCUCCCCCUUUCCUUCGCUCACUCGGUGGUGGAAGAUCUCGACUUCUCCGGCAACAGGCUCACUGGAGACCCCUCCUUGCUACUUGGCGCCAAGAGCCCGCGAGGAAUCGUGAGCUUGUCGAGGAACCUCUUUGAGUUCAACCUGAGCGCAGUGGUGUUUCCUAAGGGGCUGGCUGUGCUGAACCUGGACCAUAACAGGGUAUAUGGGAGCAUCCCGCCGCUGAUCACGAAGCUGGAUGAGUUGCAGGUCCUGAACGUGAGCUACAACCUGCUCUGUGGGAAGAUUCCGCCGGGAGGGAAACUGGGGAAGUUCUUUGCGUACGAUCCCUACAACUUCUUCCACAACAAGUGCCUCUGCGGGCCGCCGCUUCCAGCUUGCAAGUAAACAGCCUGGCUGUGCUCAUUUUCAGUAUUAAGGAUAAUAAAAG
rnacentral:misc_RNA from 1 species